ACGCAGUAGCAAUACUGAGUGGCAAACGGGUGAGUAUAAUGUGGGAAUCUGCCUUUUGGUUUGGAAUAACACGGGGAAACUUGUGCUAAUACCGGAUAAGCCUUCACAGGGAAAGUUUUAUACGCCGAAAGAUGAGCCCGCACUUGAUUAGCUAGUUGGUGAGGUAAAGGCUCACCAAGGCAACGAUCAAUAGUUGGUCUGAGAGGACGACCAGCCACAUUGGGACUGAGACACGGCCCAGACUCCUACGGGAGGCAGCAGUAAGGAAUCUUGCGCAAUGGGGGCAACCCUGAUGCAGCGAUGCCGCGUGAGUGAAGAAGGCCCUUGGGUUGUAAAACUCUUUCGUCGGGGAAGAAAAUGACUGUACCCGAAUAAGAAGGUCCGGCUAACUUCGUGCCAGCAGCCGCGGUAAUACGAAGGGACCUAGCGUAGUUCGGAAUUACUGGGCUUAAAGAGCUCGUAGGUGGUUAAAAAAGUUGAUUGUGAAAUCCCAAGGCUCAACCUUGGAACUGCAAUCAAAACUUUUUAGCUAGAGUGUGAUAGAGGAAAGUGGAAUUUCUAGUGUAGAGGUGAAAUUCGUAGAUAUUGGAAAGAACACCAAAAGCGAAGGCAACUUUCUGGGUCACUACUGACACUGAGGAGCGAAAGCAUGGGUAGCGAAGAGGAUUAG
rnacentral:rRNA from 1 species